UUACGGUCAAAUCACGUUGAAAACACCGGUUCUCGUUCGAUCACCGAAGUUAAGCAUCGUAGAGCCAGGUCAGUACUUAGAUGGGGACC